rnacentral:rRNA from 1 species
CAGUAGCCACGGGAACACGUAGGGUGCGAGCGUUAAUCGGAAUUACUGGGCGUAAAGCGUGCGCAGGCGGUUAUAUAAGACAGAUGUGAAAUCCCCGGGCUCAACCUGGGACCUGCAUUUGUGACUGUAUAGCUAGAGUAUGGUAGAGGGGGAUGGAAUUCCGCGUGUAGCAGUGAAAUGCGUAGAUAUGCGGAGGAACACCGAUGGCGAAGGCAAUCCCCUGGACCUGUACUGACGCUCAUGCACGAAAGCGUGGGGAGCAAACAGGAUUAGAUACCCGAGUAGUCCCUGUCUCUUAUAC